UACGUAGGGUGCAAGCGUUGUCCGGAAUUAUUGGGCGUAAAGAGCUCGUAGGCGGCUCGUCGCGUCGGCUGUGAAAACCUGGGGCUCAACCCCGGGCCUGCAGCCGAUACGGGCGAGCUAGAAUUCGGUAGGGGAGACUGGAAUUCCUGGUGUAGCGGUGAAAUGCGCAGAUAUCAGGAGGAACACCGGUGGCGAAGGCGGGUCUCUGGGCCGAUAUUGACGCUGAGGAGCGAAAGCGUGGGGAGCGAACAG
rnacentral:rRNA from 1 species